GACAGAGGGUGCAAACGUUGUUCGGAAUUACUGGGCGUAAAGCGCGUGUAGGCUGCUCAGAAAGUCGGAUGUGAAAGCCCUGGGCUCAACCUAGGAAGUGCAUUCGAAACUUCUGAGCUGGAGUUCUGGAGAGGAAGGCGGAAUUCUCGGUGUAGAGGUGAAAUUCGUAGAUAUCGAGAGGAACACCGGUGGCGAAGGCGGCCUUCUGGACAGUGACUGACGCUGAGACGCGAAAGCGUGGGGAGCGAACAGG
rnacentral:rRNA from 1 species